CACCGCCCGUCACACCAUGGGAGUUGGCUUUACCUGAAGACGGUGUGCUAACCAGCAAUGGAGGCAGCCGGCCACGGUAAGGUCAGCGACUGGGGUG
rnacentral:rRNA from 1 species